GGCGGUGUAGCUCAGUGGUUAGUCCCGAUCUUUCGGGAUCAUAAGCCAUGUGUCACUAGUUCAAAUCUAGUCACCGCUACGA
rnacentral:tRNA from 1 species